rnacentral:rRNA from 1 species
AAGGGUUUAAUUCUGGCCCCAUGGUCUGUAAAAUUCUGGCUUACAUGGAUCUUUUGGAGGACUUUCUCUAGAUAAAUAUAAACUUAGGGUGAACUCCCAGUAGGUAAUUUUGGUAAGCGGCUGAGCCGGCACCAGCAGAGGCCGACUAAACCAGUGCCAGCAGUCGCGGUUAGACUGGGUGCCUGAGACCCGAGUGUUUUUGGCCUUUAAGGUUACUUUCUCAGGGGAGGUGAAAUUCCCUGGUGAAAGUAGCACUAAAAGUGAAGGCUGAAGCCCUCUAUUUAAACUGGGAUUAGAUACCCCACUAUAAGAGGGUAAACUUCCAAAAAAGGGUAGUACCAGUUAUGGCCUUUAAACCCAAAGGAUUUGGCGGUGACCUAUACAACCAGGGGAGCCUGCCCCGUAAACGACACCGCCCGUUAAUUUGCCUUAAGUAUGCCUAUAUACCGCCGCCUAGCCCCCAGCUUAGAGGCCGGAGCGAUCAGGUUCCCCUCUAAGGCAGGUCAAGGUGUAGCGUGUUUUAAGGAAGGAGGUGGGCUACAGUCCCCUCUGGGGUGAAACCUUCUAAUUAGAUGGAGGGGCAAAUGGACUUGGCAGUAUGGGAGGGUUAAGACCCCUCUCUGAAAUGGGCCCUAGGUUGUGCACAUAUCGCCCGUCGCUCUCACCAAACGUAAGAUAAGUCGUAACAUAGUAGGUGG